AGGGAAUUUUCGGCAAUGGGGGAAACCCUGACCGAGCAACGCCGCGUGAAGGAAGAAGUAAUUCGUUAUGUAAACUUCUGUCAUAGAGGAAGAACGGUGGAUAUAGGGAGUGAUAUCCAAGUGACGGUACUCUAUAAGAAAGCCACGGCUAACUACGUGCCAGCAGCCGCGGUAAUACGUAGGUGGCGAGCGUUAUCCGGAAUUAUUGGGCGUAAAGAGGGAGCAGGCGGCACUAAGGGUCUGUGGUGAAAGAUCGAAGCUUAACUUCGGUAAGCCAUGGAAACCGUAGAGCUAGAGUGUGUGAGAGGAUCGUGGAAUUCCAUGUGUAGCGGUGAAAUGCGUAGAUAUAUGGAGGAACACCAGUGGCGAAGGCGACGAUCUGGCGCAUAACUGACGCUCAGUCCCGAAAGCGUGGGGAGCAAAUAGGAUUAGAUACCCUAGUAGUCCACGCCGUAAACGAUGAGUACUAAGUGUUGGGUGUCAAAGCUCAGUGCUGCAGUUAACGCAAUAAGUACUCCGCCUGAGUAGUACGUUCGCAAGAAUGAAACUCAAAGGAAUUGACGGGGGCCCGCACAAGCGGUGGAGCAUGUGGUUUAAUUCGAAGCAACGCGAAGAACCUUACCAGGUCUUGACAUCGAUCUAAAGGCUCCAGAGAUGGAGAGAUAGCUAUAGAGAAGACAGGUGGUGCAUGGUUGUCGUCAGCUCGUGUCGUGAGAUGUUGGGUUAAGUCCCGCAACGAGCGCAACCCCUGUUGCCAGUUGCCAGCAUUAAGUUGGGGACUCUGGCGAGACUGCCGGUGACAAGCCGGAGGAAGGCGGGGAUGACGUCAAAUCAUCAUGCCCCUUAUGACCUGGGCUACACACGUGCUACAAUGGACAGAGCAGAGGGAAGCGAAGCCGCGAGGUGGAGCGAAACCCAUAAAACUGUUCUCAGUUCGGACUGCAGUCUGCAACUCGACUGCACGAAGAUGGAAUCGCUAGUAAUCGCGAAUCAGCAUGUCGCGGUGAAUACGUUCUCG
rnacentral:rRNA from 1 species